rnacentral:rRNA from 1 species
ACUCCUACGGGAGGCAGCAGUGGGGAAUAUUGCACAAUGGGCGCAAGCCUGAUGCAGCCAUGCCGCGUGUAUGAAGAAGGCCUUCGGGUUGUAAAGUACUUUCAGCAGUGAGGAAGGUGGGUAUGUUAAUAGCAUAUUCAUUUGACGUUAGCUGCAGAAGAAGCACCGGCUAACUCCGUGCCAGCAGCCGCGGUAAUACGGAGGGUGCGAGCGUUAAUCGGAAUUACUGGGCGUAAAGCGCAUGCAGGUGGUUUGUUAAGUCAGAUGUGAAAGCCCGGGGCUCAACCUCGGAAUUGCAUUUGAAACUGGCAAACUAGAGUACUGUAGAGGGGGGUAGAAUUUCAGGUGUAGCGGUGAAAUGCGUAGAGAUCUGAAGGAAUACCGGUGGCGAAGGCGGCCCCCUGGACAGAUACUGACACUCAGAUGCGAAAGCGUGGGGAAGCAAACAGGAUUAGAUACCCUGGUAGCGU